CAGCACCGCGGUAAUACGUAGGUGGCAAGCGCUGUCCGGAAUUAUUGGGCGUAAAGCGCGCGCAGGCGGAUCAGUCAGUCUGUCUUAAAAGUUCGGGGCUUAACCCCGUGAUGGGAUGGAAACUGCUGAUCUAGAGUAUCGGAGAGGAAAGUGGAACUCCUAGUGUAGCGGUGAAAUGCGUAGAUAUUAGGAAGAACACCAGUGGCGAAGGCGACUUUCUGGACGAAAACUGACGCUGAGGCGCGAAAGCCAGGGGAGCGAACGGGAUUAGAUACCCCGGUAGUCCCUGUCUCUUAUACAC
rnacentral:rRNA from 1 species